GGGGGAGACCAUGACACAUGUUCAUUUCCGAAUAUAGAAGUAACAUCGGAUUAGAUGUUCCACAUUAUCCAUCCGGGUACAGAUUCACUACCUUCAGGAUUUGAUAGGCUGAGAUAUCCAAGUCCGCUGCCUAGAAGUGACUCUCAACAAUAUUUUGGGGGAAGGUGUACAGGGGAAGAGAUGCUUUGGUUGGGAUUGGGAAUACUAUCAAGAUUCGUGUGGGUCCCUUCAAGGGCUACCGUAGUCGUGUAGUAGAUGUUGAUGGUUCAACUGUUCGAGUUGAACUGGAAUGACAGAUGAAGGCUCUUACUGGAUUCAUCUCAACGGUAUGGUUUGGGACACGAAACCCAAUGCUUCACAUGACUCCGAUGAGAGAUGCAACGGUAUGGUUUGGGACACAAAACCCAAUGUUCCACAUGACUCCGAUGAGAGAUGCAGGAUGGGCCACUUCAAUCCAUGAUGGAAUGCGAACUGCCAUGUGUGACCGUGCAUGGAAUCCUUGUGCACCAAUGAGCACAUAAAGUAUAAUGCGGGGUCCUUUAGGCUUUUAAAGUUAUGCAACCUUUCUCUUUCCCAUUUUGUGUAAAAGAGAACUAUUAUAAUGGAAGUUUACAGAAAAAAAAGACAGGCUUAGAACUUCGGAAAUUUUCCUCAGCGAACUUUCUAAAACUUAGACAACUUGAAAGAUCGAUGUUUUGUAUACCUAGUAUCUCAGUCUACUAAAUGUUUUAGUGUAGGGUCAUGUGCUAUUGAGCAAUAAGUAUACUCGUGGGUAAUUAAUGAGGUUGUUGUCAUGUUAAUCUUUUCUUCUUAUUUCCUUUGUCAAUAAAGAUAAGAAGAUAAACUUGCUGUAUUUGCAUUUAAAUUUGAGAGAGUCGUAUCCAUUACAAAGGCGAUAUUCCGAACUCGUAUG